ACCCAGAUAGCUCAGUUGGUAAGAGCAUGAGACUCUUAACCUACGGGGCGUGAGUUCGAGCCUCACAUUGGGCA